AGAGUUUGAUCCUGGCUCAGGAUGAACGCUAGCGGCAGGCUUAAUACAUGCAAGUCGAACGGGAUUCGGGGUAGCAAUACUUUGAUGAGAGUGGCGCACGGGUGCGUAACGCGUAUGCAACCUACCUUUAACAGGGGAAUAGCCCCGAGAAAUCGGGAUUAAUACUCCGUAACAUUGCGGUGUGGCAUCACACUGCAAUUAAAGAUUUAUCGGUUAAAGAUGGGCAUGCGUGACAUUAGCUAGUUGGUGAGGUAACGGCUCACCAAGGCAACGAUGUCUAGGGGUCCUGAGAGGGUUAUCCCCCACACUGGUACUGAGACACGGACCAGACUCCUACGGGAGGCAGCAGUAAGGAAUAUUGGUCAAUGGGCGCAAGCCUGAACCAGCCAUGCCGCGUGCAGGAAGACGGCCCUAUGGGUUGUAAACUGCUUUUAUCAGGGAAUAAACCCCCGCUCGUGAGCGGGGCUGAAGGUACCUGAAGGAUAAGCAUCGGCUAACUCCGUGCCAGCAGCCGCGGUAAUACGGAGGAUGCAAGCGUUAUCCGGAUUCAUUGGGUUUAAAGGGUGCGCAGGCGGAUUGGUAAGUCAGGGGUGAAAUCCCACAGCUCAACUGUGGAACUGCCUUUGAUACUGUCAGUCUAGAGUAUAGUUGAAGUUGGCGGAAUGUGUCAUGUAGCGGUGAAAUGCUUAGAUAUGACACAGAACACCGAUCGCGAAGGCAGCUAGCUAAGCUAUAACUGACGCUCAUGCACGAAAGCGUGGGGAUCAAACAGGA
rnacentral:rRNA from 1 species